rnacentral:rRNA from 1 species
UGAUACUCGUUUUUGGGUUUUAUGAUUCAGAGACUAAGCGAAAGUGAUAAGUAAUCCACCUGGGGAGUACGUUCGCAAGAAUGAAACUCAAAGGAAUUGACGGGGGCCCGCACAAGCGGUGGAGCAUGUGGUUUAAUUCGAUGAUACGCGAGGAACCUUACCAAGACUUAAAUGGGAAAUGACAGCUUUAGAAAUAGAGUUUUCUUCGGACAUUUUUCAAGGUGCUGCAUGGUUGUCGUCAGCUCGUGCCGUGAGGUGUUAGGUUAAGUCCUGCAACGAGCGCAACCCCUGUCACUAGUUGCUAACAUUAAGUUGAGGACUCUAGUGAGACUGCCUACGCAAGUAGAGAGGAAGGUGGGGAUGACGUCAAAUCAUCACGGCCCUUACGUCUUGGGCCACACACGUGCUACAAUGGCCGGUACAGAGGGCAGCUACCUAGUGAUAGGAUGCAAAUCUCGAAAGCCGGUCUCAGUUCGGAUUGGAGUCUGCAACUCGACUCUAUGAAGCUGGAAUCGCUAGUAAUCGCGCAUCAGCCAUGGCGCGGUGAAUACGUUCCCGGGAAA